UACGGAAGGGGCAAGCGUUGUUCGGAAUCAUUGGGCGUAAAGGGCGCGUAGGUGGUUCUGUAUGUCUACCGUGAAAGCGUACGGCUCAACCGUAUUUUGUCGGUAGAAACUGCAGGACUUGAGGCUGGGAGGGGCUGGUGGAAUUCCCUGUGUAGCGGUGAAAUGCGUAGAGAUGGGGGAAAACACUCGUGGCGAAGGCAGCCUUCUGGGCCAACACUGACGCUCAUGCACGAAAGCGUGGGGAGCAAACAGG
rnacentral:rRNA from 1 species